UCAAAAUUACUGCACACGCGAGUGCAUAAAGCAAACUUUAUGCAUUUAUUUAAUAAUAAAUGCAUAAAGUUUGCUUUAUAUGCACUCGCGUGUGCAGUAAUUUUGACAGUUGUGC